GUCGGGAUAGCUCAGCUGGUAGAGCAGAGGACUGG
rnacentral:tRNA from 1 species